AGUGAACGCUGGCGGCAGGCCUAAUACAUGCAAGUCGAACGGCAGCACAGCAGAGCUUGCUCUGUGGGUGGCGAGUGGCGGACGGGUGAGGAGUACGUGGGAAUCUGCCCAGUCGUGGGGGAUAACGUAGGGAAACUUACGCUAAUACCGCAUGCGCCCUUCGGGGAAGCCGGGGACCUUCGGCCGUGGCGCGAUUGGAUGAGCCCACGUCGGAUUAGCUAGUUGGCGGGGUAAAGGCCCACCAAGGCGACGAUCCGUAGCUGGUCUGAGAGGAUGAUCAGCCACACUGGAACUGAGACACGGUCCAGACUCCUACGGGAGGCAGCAGUAGGGAAUAUUGGACAAUGGGCGCAAGCCUGAUCCAGCCAUGCCGCGUGAGUGAAGAAGGCCCUCGGGUUGUAAAGCUCUUUUGUCCGGAAAGAAAAGCGCCGGGUUAAUACCCUGGUGUCCUGACGGUACCGGAAGAAUAAGCACCGGCUAACUUCGUGCCAGCAGCCGCGGUAAAGUA
rnacentral:rRNA from 1 species